UAGGGAAUCUUCCGCAAUGGACGCAAGUCUGACGGAGCAACGCCGCGUGAGUGAAGAAGGAUUUCGGUUCGUAAAACUCUGUUGUUAGAGAAGAACAGCGCAUAGAGUAACUGUUAUGCGUGUGACGGUAUCUAACCAGAAAGCCACGGCUAACUACGUGCCAGCAGCCGCGGUAAUGCGUAGGUGGCAAGCGUUGUCCGGAUUUAUUGGGCGUAAAGCGAGCGCAGGCGGUCAAUUAAGUCUGAUGUGAAAGCCCCCGGCUCAACCGGGGAGGGUCAUUGGAAACUGGUUGACUUGAGUGCAGAAGAGGAGAGUGGAAUUCCAUGUGUAGCGGUGAAAUGCGUAGAUAUAUGGAGGAACACCAGUGGCGAAGGCGACUCUCUGGUCUGUAACUGACGCUGAGGUUCGAAAGCGUGGGUAGCAAACAGG
rnacentral:rRNA from 1 species